GAGAGAGUUUGUGUAUAAAAGGAAGAUAAAAGCAACAAGUAAAAGAGAUAUAGACUUGAACACAUAGAAACUGACGGCUAAGAAUUAAGAUUAUCAGGAGACAAAAAAGAAGCUGAUGGAGAAAUUUUCAUUCAAGUCUGCUUUCAUCCUCCUUUUAGCUUUGACUGUGAUGGUGUCUGUAACAGUCCAGAGUGUUGGGGCCAAACGCAUGUUACACGAAGAAACUUCUCGGCCCUUGGUUGAUGUCGAAGCUUCAUUGCCGACGGUUAAGCCACUAAGAGGGGGGUUUGAUUUUUGUACACCAGACUGCAAAGAGUUUUGUUUUGGUACCGGUUGUUAUUGCGAUUGUCCUACUCCUCCAUCAACUCAUGAAUAAAUUGUAUGAUCAACUUCUGAUUAAAAAAAAGUAUUUGUAAGAAAUUAUGUGUGAUAAACUAAGAAGAAUAAAUCUUUAAAAUAUAAGAAUAUUUUAUGGA